rnacentral:tRNA from 1 species
GGAGAGGUGCCAGAGUGGUCGAAUGGGGCGGCCUGCUAAGCCGUUGUAGAUGUAUGUCUACCCAGGGUUCGAAUCCCUGUCUCUCCG